rfam:Eutrema salsugineum unplaced genomic scaffold scaffold_3, whole genome shotgun sequence.
GGGUGCGAUCAUACCAGCACUAAUGCACCGGAUUCCAUCAGAACCCCGCAGUUAAGCGUGCUUGGGCGAGAGUAGUACUAGGAUGGGUGACCUCCCGGGAAGUCCUCGUGUUGCACCUU